UGCCACAACUAAAUCACCCUGCAGGCCAAGACUGGUUACUCACUGAAGCUAGGUAGGGCUGAGCCUGGUCAGUACCUGGAUGGAGGACCACAUGGGAAAAUUAGGUUGCUGUUGGAA
rnacentral:rRNA from 1 species